AGUGAACGCUGGCGGUAGGCCUAACACAUGCAAGUCGAACGGCAGCACAGGAGCGAUUGCUCUCUAGGUGGCGAGUGGCGGACGGGUGAGGCAUACAUCGGAAUCUGCCCAGUCGUGGGGGAUAACGUAGGGAAACUUACGCUAAUACCGCAUACGACCUUCGGGUGGAAGAGGGGGAUCGCAAGACCUCUCGCGAUUGGAUGAGCCGAUGUCGGAUUGGCUAGUUAGCGGGGUAAUGGCACACCAAGGCGACGAUCCGUAGCUGGUCUGAGAGGAUGACCAGCCACACUGUAACUGAGACACGGCCCAGACUCCUACGGGAGGCAGCAGUGGGGAAUAUUGGACAAUGGGGGCAAGCCUGAUCCAGCCAUACCGCGGGGGUGAAGAUGGACUUAGGGUUGUAAAGCCCUGUUGUUGGGAGAGAAAUAUUGCAGGCUAAUACCCUGGGAGGAUGACGGUACCCAAAGAAGAAGCACCGGCUAACUUCGUG
rnacentral:rRNA from 1 species